GUGGGGAAUAUUGCACAAUGGGCGAAAGCCUGAUGCAGCGACGCCGCGUGAGGGAUGACGGCCUUCGGGUUGUAAACCUCUUUCAGCAGGGAAGAAGCGAAAGUGACGGUACCUGCAGAAGAAGCGCCGGCUAACUACGUGCCAGCAGCCGCGGUAAUACGUAGGGCGCAAGCGUUGUCCGGAAUUAUUGGGCGUAAAGAGCUCGUAGGCGGCUUGUCACGUCGGGUGUGAAAGCCCGGGGCUUAACCCCGGGUCUGCAUUCGAUACGGGCUAGCUAGAGUGUGGUAGGGGAGAUCGGAAUUCCUGGUGUAGCGGUGAAAUGCGCAGAUAUCAGGAGGAACACCGGUGGCGAAGGCGGAUCUCUGGGCCAUUACUGACGCUGAGGAGCGAAAGCGUGGGGAGCGAACAGGAUUAGAAACCCCGGUAGUCC
rnacentral:rRNA from 1 species